rnacentral:rRNA from 1 species
AACGUAGGAGGCAAGCGUUAUCCGGAGUUACUGGGCGUAAAGGGCGUUUAGGCGGGGCCCUAAGUCUGGCGUGAAAUCUCCCGGCUCAACUGGGAGGGGGCGCUGGAGACUGGGGUUCUUGAGGGCAGGAGAGGGGGGUGGAAUUCCCGGUGUAGCGGUGGAAUGCGUAGAGAUCGGGAGGAACAUCAGUGGCGAAGGCGGCCCCCUGGUCUGCACCUGACGCUGAAGCGCGAAAGCGUGGGGAGCAAACGGG